CAAAGGUAGCAUAAUCAUUAGGGGUUUAAUUGGAACCUGGUAUGAAGGGUUGGACAAAGGAAAAACUGUCUUUCUGAUAUAAGUUGAAAUUUACUUUUAAGUGAAAAGGCUUAAAUUAAUCAAAGGGACGAUAAGACCCUAUAAAGCUUUAUAAAUAAUUUAAAUUUAAUUGAUUUAUUAAUUAAAGGUUGAAUUUAACUAUUUUAUUUUGUUGGGGUGAUGUGAGUAUAAGUUAUAUUAACUGCUUAAAAGAAAUUCUAUCAUAAAAGAGUCUAUAGUGUAGAUGAUCCUUUAUAAAGAUUAAAAGACUAAGUUACUUUAGGGGUAACAGCGUUAUUUCUUUUGAGAGUUCAUAUCGAAAAAGAAGAUUGCGACCUCGAUGUUGAAUUAAAAUGUCUAUAUAAUGCAGUCGUUAUAAGAGAGGGUCUGUUCGACCUUUAAAGUUUUACAUGAUUUGAGUUCA
rnacentral:rRNA from 1 species